rnacentral:rRNA from 1 species
GGGUUGUGAGGUUAAGCGACUAAGCGUACACGGUGGAUGCCCUGGCAGUCAGAGGCGAUGAAGGACGUGCUAAUCUGCGAUAAGCGUCGGUAAGGUGAUAUGAACCGUUAUAACCGGCGAUUUCCGAAUGGGGAAACCCAGUGUGUUUCGACACACUAUCAUUAACUGAAUCCAUAGGUUAAUGAGGCGAACCGGGGGAACUGAAACAUCUAAGUACCCCGAGGAAAAGAAAUCAACCGAGAUUCCCCCAGUAGCGGCGAGCGAACGGGGAGCAGCCCAGAGCCUGAAUCAGUGUGUGUGUUAGUGGAAGCGUCUGGAAAGGCGCGCGAUACAGGGUGACAGCCCCGUACACAAAAAUGCACAUGCUGUGAGCUCGAUGAGUAGGGCGGGACACGUGGUAUCCUGUCUGAAUAUGGGGGGACCAUCCUCCAAGGCUAAAUACUCCUGACUGACCGAUAGUGAACCAGUACCGUGAGGGAAAGGCGAAAAGAACCCCGGCGAGGGGAGUGAAAAAGAACCUGAAACCGUGUACGUACAAGCAGUGGGAGCACGCUUAGGCGUGUGACUGCGUACCUUUUGUAUAAUGGGUCAGCGACUUAUAUUCUGUAGCAAGGUUAACCGAAUAGGGGAGCCGAAGGGAAACCGAGUCUUAACUGGGCGUUAAGUUGCAGGGUAUAGACCCGAAACCCGGUGAUCUAGCCAUGGGCAGGUUGAAGGUUGGGUAACACUAACUGGAGGACCGAACCGACUAAUGUUGAAAAAUUAGCGGAUGACUUGUGGCUGGGGGUGAAAGGCCAAUCAAACCGGGAGAUAGCUGGUUCUCCCCGAAAGCUAUUUAGGUAGCGCCUCGUGAAUUCAUCUCCGGGGGUAGAGCACUGUUUCGGCAAGGGGGUCAUCCCGACUUACCAACCCGAUGCAAACUGCGAAUACCGGAGAAUGUUAUCACGGGAGACACACGGCGGGUGCUAACGUCCGUCGUGAAGAGGGAAACAACCCAGACCGCCAGCUAAGGUCCCAAAGUCAUGGUUAAGUGGGAAACGAUGUGGGAAGGCCCAGACAGCCAGGAUGUUGGCUUAGAAGCAGCCAUCAUUUAAAGAAAGCGUAAUAGCUCACUGGUCGAGUCGGCCUGCGCGGAAGAUGUAACGGGGCUAAACCAUGCACCGAAGCUGCGGCAGCGACACUAUGUGUUGUUGGGUAGGGGAGCGUUCUGUAAGCCUGUGAAGGUGUACUGUGAGGUAUGCUGGAGGUAUCAGAAGUGCGAAUGCUGACAUAAGUAACGAUAAAGCGGGUGAAAAGCCCGCUCGCCGGAAGACCAAGGGUUCCUGUCCAACGUUAAUCGGGGCAGGGUGAGUCGACCCCUAAGGCGAGGCCGAAAGGCGUAGUCGAUGGGAAACAGGUUAAUAUUCCUGUACUUGGUGUUACUGCGAAGGGGGGACGGAGAAGGCUAUGUUGGCCGGGCGACGGUUGUCCCGGUUUAAGCGUGUAGGCUGGUUUUCCAGGCAAAUCCGGAAAAUCAAGGCUGAGGCGUGAUGACGAGGCACUACGGUGCUGAAGCAACAAAUGCCCUGCUUCCAGGAAAAGCCUCUAAGCAUCAGGUAACAUCAAAUCGUACCCCAAACCGACACAGGUGGUCAGGUAGAGAAUACCAAGGCGCUUGAGAGAACUCGGGUGAAGGAACUAGGCAAAAUGGUGCCGUAACUUCGGGAGAAGGCACGCUGAUAUGUAGGUGAAGUCCCUCGCGGAUGGAGCUGAAAUCAGUCGAAGAUACCAGCUGGCUGCAACUGUUUAUUAAAAACACAGCACUGUGCAAACACGAAAGUGGACGUAUACGGUGUGACGCCUGCCCGGUGCCGGAAGGUUAAUUGAUGGGGUUAGCGCAAGCGAAGCUCUUGAUCGAAGCCCCGGUAAACGGCGGCCGUAACUAUAACGGUCCUAAGGUAGCGAAAUUCCUUGUCGGGUAAGUUCCGACCUGCACGAAUGGCGUAAUGAUGGCCAGGCUGUCUCCACCCGAGACUCAGUGAAAUUGAACUCGCUGUGAAGAUGCAGUGUACCCGCGGCAAGACGGAAAGACCCCGUGAACCUUUACUAUAGCUUGACACUGAACAUUGAGCCUUGAUGUGUAGGAUAGGUGGGAGGCUUUGAAGUGUGGACGCCAGUCUGCAUGGAGCCGACCUUGAAAUACCACCCUUUAAUGUUUGAUGUUCUAACGUUGACCCGUAAUCCGGGUUGCGGACAGUGUCUGGUGGGUAGUUUGACUGGGGCGGUCUCCUCCUAAAGAGUAACGGAGGAGCACGAAGGUUGGCUAAUCCUGGUCGGACAUCAGGAGGUUAGUGCAAUGGCAUAAGCCAGCUUGACUGCGAGCGUGACGGCGCGAGCAGGUGCGAAAGCAGGUCAUAGUGAUCCGGUGGUUCUGAAUGGAAGGGCCAUCGCUCAACGGAUAAAAGGUACUCCGGGGAUAACAGGCUGAUACCGCCCAAGAGUUCAUAUCGACGGCGGUGUUUGGCACCUCGAUGUCGGCUCAUCACAUCCUGGGGCUGAAGUAGGUCCCAAGGGUAUGGCUGUUCGCCAUUUAAAGUGGUACGCGAGCUGGGUUUAGAACGUCGUGAGACAGUUCGGUCCCUAUCUGCCGUGGGCGCUGGAGAACUGAGGGGGGCUGCUCCUAGUACGAGAGGACCGGAGUGGACGCAUCACUGGUGUUCGGGUUGUCAUGCCAAUGGCACUGCCCGGUAGCUAAAUGCGGAAGAGAUAAGUGCUGAAAGCAUCUAAGCACGAAACUUGCCCCGAGAUGAGUUCUCCCUGAC